rnacentral:lncRNA from 1 species
GAGAGAGAGAGAGAGAGAGAGAGAGAGAGAGAGAGAGAGAGAGAGAGAGGGAGUUGGCCAGUUGGGCCUCGGCCCAGGAAGAGAAGAAGGGGGCGCAGGGUUUGGGCCCUGCAGGCCGAAAGGAGAAGGGAGGGGGGGGAAGGGUUUUGCCAUUUUCUUUUUUUUUCAAACAAAUUUUUCAACACAUUUUCCAAUUGAAUUUUUGAUCAAAUCGACAUUUUGUUUUUAGAAUACUCAUCACAAUAAUAAUGCACCAGCAUGUAUGCAUAAAAAAAUGUUUCCUAAACUUAGAUUAAAUUUUAAUUUUUUUUUUUCAAAAAUUUAUUUAUUUUCCCUAUAUUUGGAUGCUCACAAAAAUUAACUAUAAAAUCAAAUUCAUCUAUUUAAAAACAAACAAAUUUUAGGGUGUUACAAUUCUACGCCCCUUAAAAUGAAUCUCGCCCUCGAGAUUCGGAAGAAGCUCAGACCCUCUGAGAGAAACAAGAAAAUAUCUUAAUAAUCCUUUCAACUUCACAACUUGCAUACCAAACUUAAACACUUGUCUCAAGGUCACACAUCGUGAACAUAAUUUCCAUUGAAUAACUAUUAUUCAUAAUUGAUCAAAGUUCAUCUUGACUACUAAUUUCUUUUAGCUUACAACUCCAAGAGACAUGGAAACUUAAUAUGCUUUUGCCUCCUCUCGUAGAAGUGGACCACCAUGAUACUCAAUUCUUUUCCCUGACGGUGCUGUUAAGAGCAUUUUGUACUGGGUACCAUAGAUCACUCCUUUAUGUGCACAUAACCAUCCAUUACCAAGGACCAAGGGAAUACCAAGUGACUCUAACACAAUGAGGUUUACAGUGAUGUUUUCCUUGUUUAUGACCAGAUUGAUAUUUGAGCACACCUGAUUUGCUUGUAUUUCUCCCACUGGGGUUUGAACUAACAAAGGCUUCCUCGUUGGACACUUCACCCGCUCGAUCGUCUUUACCAAGUCAGCGGAAAUGAAAGAAUGCGAAGCACUCGGGUCAAAGAGAGCAAAAACUUGCACUGAGUCUACUUGAAUAUAGCCA